rnacentral:rRNA from 1 species
CAUGGUUGUCGUCAGCUCGUGUCGUGAGAUGUGGUUAAGUCCCGCAACGAGCGCAACCCCUAUUGUUAGUUGCCAUCAUUCAGUUGGGCACUCUAGCGAGACUGCCGGUAAUAAACCGGGAGGAAGGUGGGGAUGACGUCAAAUCAUCAUGCCCCGUAUGACCUGGGCUACACACGUGCUACAAUGGUUGGUACAACGAGUUGCGAGUCGGUGACGGCGAGCUAAUCUCUUAAAGCCAAUCUCAGUUCGGAUUGUAGGCUGCAACUCGCCUACAUGAAGUCGGAAUCGCUAGUAAUCGCGGAUCAGCGCGCCGCGGUGAAUACGUUCCCGGGCCUU